CUACGGGAGGCAGCAGUGGGGAAUAUUGGACAAUGGGGGCAACCCUGAUCCAGCCAUGCCGCGUGUGUGAAGAAGGCUUUCGGGUUGUAAAGCACUUUCAGUAGGGAGGAAAACCUUAUGGUUAAUACCCAUGAGGCUUGACGUUACCUACAGAAGAAGCACCGGCUAACUCCGUGCCAGCAGCCGCGGUAAUA
rnacentral:rRNA from 1 species